rnacentral:lncRNA from 1 species
UUUUAUUUUGCAGAUAAACAAAGAUUACUUUAAUUACCAUGAUCUAACAUGCCAUCUCCAGAACAGAAGGUACAGUACUGAAAGGUAUAAAACAUUUACAAUACAGGGAAGGUUUAUUUUAGGCAUUAAAUGAAAUGACAUUAACAUAGAGUAUGAAAAAUAAUGCCCUAUUCUUAAUAGAAUCUUUCUUGAAGGAACAUUUGUAAAACUGGAUUUCAUAUUUUACUGCCUAAGUCAAAAUAUUAAAUGUUGUACUAAAUUAGAUUUUUGAAAAUACGAAGCUUUUGCCACAAAAAAGAAAUAACUUUUAUUAUUCAGGGUGCCUUGGGUGUGUUUUAAUUUCUUGGAUUUCAUAAUACAGAGUUAAUCCUUGCUGGACCUUAAGCAAGUAGGAGGUUAGCAGUGUCACAGAGCUCUAAAAGUCAAAUCUUUUCACUAAGAAAGACCACUAUCCAUCUUCUGAUUCAUUAGGGCAAAAUAGCCAUCACGAUCAAUAUGACAAGCAAACAGGAGGACUGAGUGGCAAAGAAAUAUGUGGAAAAGUGAGGGUUGUGAGCUUUUUAGGAAAGAUUAGAGAGAUGGUACCAAAAGACGAGAAGGGUAUGAAAGAAAGGCCCUAUUCAGGCAAGAAGAAAUCACAGCAGUAGAAAAAUUAUGAUUUUUGAUACCUCAGUGAGGCAGCACAGAACAGCUGUGGUGCCUAACAGAAUAAACAGUUCUUGCACCUGCAGAAAGAAAAGAAAUAAUAGCUACAUAGCAUCUUCCAAAUCAAAAGAAGUAGAUGUGGAUGUCCUUGAGAAUAUAAAUUGAGAUCCCUGUCAAGGUCACAGCCCAAGAACCGUGGGAACAAAACAGAUCCAAUGACACCAAACACCUUGUCUGGGUUGCUGAUGUAUACCUAACACAAAAUGUAUUUUUUCCCAUAUGCUUCAGCAGGAAUAUUUAUUCAAAAAGUUUUGUGUAAGCUGUGGCAGAGCUGCAGGAGCUGGAGAGAGCAUCCCCCGAUGCUGUGGUGCUGAGUACCGCAGCAGCCGGCACCCUGGCCUCCCGCUGCAAGGGGAAACAUGCAGGCACUGGUGCUGUGCCCCAGGGGGGUCUUGGGCCACAUGGUGAGCACUAAAAACAUGGGAUGUGUGGAUCCAGCCACUAUCACUGCAGAAGAAUACUUCUAUUCAAACUGCCGGCGUCUUUCUUCCUAAGUUUAUGUAGUACAUUAAGUGGUUACUUAAAGCAAAGGGGGAAUUAUGCCACAUGAAUGGCUAUCUGACAUAUUUCCAGGUACUAUAAACAGUCCCGAAUGGUCAUCAGGCA